GAUACCAGCACAAAAGUUCUUCCUUCUUGAUUCUCUUGUUUACCGAGUGGGUUAUGCCCUUGUAACAGGAUGAAUCUGCAUAAGCAGUACAAUUCGUCAGAUUAAAGAUUACGAUAAAUGUUUUUUUCUCUUUAAUAGUGGCAAUAACAGAUAAAUGCUUUUAAGGAUUACAAUUCGUCGGAACGGGAGGAGGUCGACCCAUCACGAUGUUCGGUACCCCUUUAAUAGUACAGAUAAAGCAAGUGGUACAUGGAUUAGCCGGGGAAGUGCAUGAUGGUCAUCAAACUGCGGCUAAGACCUGCAUGACCCAAAGCUUAAAAAUGAU
rnacentral:lncRNA from 1 species